rnacentral:rRNA from 1 species
GCCCUUUUCCGGUUGAUCCUGCCGGAGGCCAUUGCUAUUGGGAUCCGAUUUAGCCAUGCUAGUUGCACGAGUUCAGACUCGUAGCGAAUAGCUCAGUAACACGUGGCCAAACUACCCUAUGGAGAGGAAUAACCUCGGGAAACUGAGGAUAAGACCUCAUAGGAGCCGGACGCUGGAAUGCACCGGCUCCGAAACGCUCAGGCGCCAUAGGACGUGGCUGCGGCCGAUUAGGUUGACGGUGGGGUAAAGGCCCACCGUGCCAGUAAUCGGUACGGGUUGUGAGAGCAAGAGCCCGGAGAUGGAUUCUGAGACACGAAUCC